rnacentral:rRNA from 1 species
ACGCGCCGAACCUUACCUACCCUUGACAUGGUCGGAAUCCUGAAGAGAUUCGGGAGUGCUCGAAAGAGAACCGGCGCACAGGUGCUGCAUGGCUGUCGUCAGCUCGUGUCGUGAGAUGUUGGGUUAAGUCCCGCAACGAGCGCAACCCUUGUCCUUAGUUGCUACGCAAGAGCACUCUAAGGAGACUGCCGGUGACAAACCGGAGGAAGGUGGGGAUGACGUCAAGUCCUCAUGGCCCUUAUGGGUAGGG